CUGCAUCCUGUGUGUCAAAGAAUCCGACUCGAUAUUCUUCAACAAAACACCUUAAAUUGAAACGAAAUCGCUCAAUACCUCGAACUGUUUACCUUAUCCUUCCAAACAUAUGUUGGGGGAAGUUUACUGCGACAAAACGGCUCGAACAACGAUUACGUUGAUCUAUAUCUUACGCCUGGGACAUUAAGCCACGCUUCAAGAAGUUAUAACGGCCAAGUUAUAGUCUAGGAUUGCCGAUUUGGAAAAUUCUGUAAACGUUGGUCAAGAAUGUACGAUAUGUGAUGUG